UUAGAGUUUGAUCCUGGCUCAGGACGAACGCUUGCGGCGUGCCUAAGAAAUGCAAGUCGAACGGGUAUCACCUUCGGGUGGUGCCAGUGGCGAACGGUCGCGUAACACGUAAGCAACCUGCCCCGAAGUGGGGGAUAACAGCUCGAAAGGGCUGCUAAUACCGCAUGUGGCCAGCGUAUCGCAUGAUGCGCUGUCUAAAGCCUUGUGCGCUUCGGGAUGGGCUUGCGGCCUAUCAGUUAGUUGGUGGGGUAACGGCCUACCAAGGCGUUGACGGGUAGCUGGUCUGAGAGGAUGGUCAGCCGGAUUGGGACUGAGACACGGCCCAGACUCCUACGGGGGGCAGCAAUUAGGAAUCUUGCGCAAUGGGGGCAACCCUGACGCAGCGACGCCGCGUGCGGGAUGACGGCCUUCGGGCUGUAAACCGCUUUUGAAGGGGAAGAAGAAUGUGACGGUACCCUUCGAAUAAGCCCCGGCUAACUACGUGCCAGCAGCCGCGGUAAUACGUAGGGGGCGAGCGUUGUCCGAAGUUACUGGGCGUAAAGCGCGCGUAGGCGGUUUUCUAAGUCCGGCGUGAAAGGUUCAGGGCUCAACCCGAACAGUGCGCUGGAGACUGGAGAAGCUUGAGGAACGGGAGAGGGAAGCGGAAUUCCGGGUGUUAGCGGUUGAAAAUGCGUAAUUUCCGGAGGGACACCGAUGGCGAAGGCAAGCUUCCUUGGCCCGUUAUCUGACGCUGAGGUUGCGAAAGCGUGGGGAGCGAACGGAUUAAAUACCCCGGUUGUCCACCCCUUAACGAUGAGUUGCUAGGUGUUCGAGGUAUCGACCCCUCGGGUCCCGCAACCAAACCCAAGUAANCACUCCGCCUGGGGAGUACGCCGCAAGGUUGAAACUCAAAGGAAUUGACGGGGGCCCGCACAAGCGGUGGAGCAUGUGGUUUAAUUCGUCACUAACCGAAGAACCUUACCCAGGCUUGACAUCGCGUGAAAGGCCCUGAAAGGGGUCCCUCCCCGCAAGGGGACACAAAGACAGGUGUUGCAUGGCUGUCGUCAGCUCGUGUCGUGAGAUGUUGGGUUAAGUCCCGCAACGAGCGCAACCCUCACCCCAUGUUGCCAGCAGGCCGAAAGGUGCUGGGCACUCUUGGGGAACUGCCCGUGCAAGCGGGAGGAAGGUGGGGAUGACGUCAAGUCGGCAUGGCCCUUACGCCUGGGGCUACACACAUGCUACAAUGGACGCACAAACAAACGGUUUUCCGAGGCCGCGAGGCGGAGGCAAUCCGACAAAGGCGUCCUCAGUUGGGAUUGCAGGCUGCAACUCGCCUGCAUGAACGCGGAAUCGCUAGUAACCGCCGGUCAGCUAAACGGCGGUGAAUACGUUCCCGGGCCUUGUACACACCGCCCGUCAAGUCACCUGAAUUGUCUGCACCCGAAGUCGCUGGCCAUAACCCGCUUGUCGGGAGGGAGGCGCCGAACGGUGUGGGGAGUAAGGGGGACUAAGUCGUAACAAGGUAGCCGUAUCGGAAGGUGCGGC
rnacentral:rRNA from 1 species